UGUAAGUUCUGCACAACUAAACCCACCACCAACAAGAAUAAGAACAUUCUGGUCCUAACCUGAUUCGUAAUGGAAAACGAGACUCGAAGGAUUUUAAAGUUGCGAGGAUCGGGGAAAAUGCAACUCUUCCCUGUUUGGCACUGCAAGGAAUCGCUGUUGAAAACCAGAUUGUCAUCUGAAGCACACUGGAAGAGUCGCAACUCUGUCGUUCUCAAAAUGGUAUUUCUGAAUGCAAAGGGGACGUGAAAGUAAAGAUGGUAAACCUGACCCUUGUAAUUCCAAACGUUUCGUUCUCCGAUGAGAAGUUGUAUUCUUGUACAUUAAGAGGAGGAGGCAAUAAGGUUGUAAAGGACAUCAAGCUAUUUGUAGAAAACUCAACGACCCCUCCACCUGACAGUGCAAGCACCCCGACCAGCUCCCUGACUUUAGGAAAAAUAGCAAACUUGUGUCUUAAGAAAGAGCCCCUUGGUUCCUGGCAGGAGUACUGAACUGAAGAUGACCAGGGCUAGGAGGAGGGCAGCUGGACUGGGUGAGGCUGAAAGGACAGUGAAGAGACUGCGACACUGCAAACUCAAGUGGUUUGGUGUAAGGAAGACAAAGUACAGAUGUCAACAAGACCCAACUGCAACAAGCAGCUGCUGGGCGAAAGGAAGCAGACAGAGGACAAAUCUCCAAAACGGAAUCAAGACGGGACUCUGCUGAAAAAGAAGACCCAAGACGAUGAAGCAAGCUGCAUGCGAGUAAACUACCACAAGCAACGAGACUCAGGACUGCUGCUUACAGAGACUUAUCAGACAAACCAGAAUGGGUCUGCUGUACACCUAAAACCACAGCAUCCAAAAGAAACUGCCCUGCUACCUGCAUAGGUAAAAGAUUCAACGAAGAGGACAGAGCGGACGGCCGCACUUGUGGGUACUAUACCGUGGACUGAAGACUUUGUUGCAGCUGUUUGUUGAUUCUAUCGAGAAUUGAAAGCUUUGUUGCCGAGUUUGAUACAAUGUAGGACGAAGACUUUGUUGCAGAAAGGAGAGUUUUUGUACUGGACACUUCAACAGAUUGAGUUUCCAAGCCAGCAGACCAAAA